rnacentral:lncRNA from 10 species
CAACCAGGGAGGCGGAGGCUGCAGUGAGCUGAGACUGUACCACUGCACACUAGCCCAGGUGACAGAGUGAGACUCCAUCUCAAAACUAAAUAAAUAAAUUAAUUAAUUAAUGUAGAUUUUUAAAAAGAAAGUAUUGCUAUGGACUAUGAAUUAGAUGCCCUAAAAGCUUUUCCAAGAAGCACAACUAAAGACAGGAAUUGCUUUUUAUCACCUUUGGUUCGUGAAUCCUAGUAUUUCUUUCUAUGUGGGCCGCGUACAGCCUGGUUCACAUGGGGCCUGGCGUUUGUGUGGGUUACAGGAGAUCUUUUUAUUCUCUGAAAUCACACAGUGAUUAACGUGUUCCCUUUUAAUAGGAUGUGCCAUGUUCACCUUGAUAUUUGGGUUUUUGAAGAAAACCUGUAAAAGCUGUAAAACCCGAACCAUGAGGACACCCCAGGGGCACACAGUUCUGGAGGCUGAAAAUCAAGAUCAGGAUGCUGGCGUCUGACAAGGGCUUUCUUGCUGCAUCCUCACGUGGCGGAAAGUGGAAGGGCAAGAGAGAGCGAACCCAUCCUGAAAACCCCAGAUUACAGAGGCACUAAUCCAUUUAUGUGGGUGGAGCUCCCAUGACCCAAACACCUCCAAAGGCCCCACCUCCUGACAAUGUUGCACUGGGGAUUACAUUUCCAACACAUGAAUCUGGGGAGACAGAUUCAGACCACAGCAGAUGUCAAGGCUGGUUCAAAGGACAAUGUGAAGAACAAAGGCAUGCUGAAAUGAAUUUGAUAAUAGAUGCAAACUUGGGUAACAUCCUACAGGACAAUAAGGUGUAAGUAAUACUUGGGAUCAUCUUUCCUUAGACAUGAGCAUCAGUUGCAUCUACAGUGAACAACACUGAUUACAUUGCCAUAGAGGAAGCUUUGUGUUGCUCUCAGAUAAGAAGCAUGCACACUGCUGUAUUCUCUACAUGAACUUCUAUUCUACAGUUGUAAAAUAGUUCAGUCAAUAGAAAGCCAACCACAGAGACACACCUAGUGGUUUGUUUUUGCCUAUUUUUAAGUUUUUAAUAUUUUUUAUAACAGAUAUAACAUUGAAUCCAUAGUGAAGUUAAUCACUUUUUAAUUACCCAUUUUUCUAAUAAUUAAAUCAACAAGGGAGUCUCCUUUGGGUACCAAUCAAUCUCUAACCUUUCUAAACUUCUUGUUUGAAAAAGAGAAAGGCAGAAGUGGGCCUCAAGCAUGACGCCUUCAACUGACUGUACAAGCUAGCUGCAGUUUGAUGAUACUGUUGAAUUUUCUUUAUUAUAUUGUUACCUUUUAUUAAUGGCAAUGGAUAUAUUAGUUUUCCAUUUUUGGUUGAGAUAUGAGGCUUCCUUUAAAACAUAUUUAAGUAAAAAAGAAAAGUGAGUCAAUGUGUUUAAUUAAACAGCCAAAAGUAUUCAAAUGAUGAAUGAUAUAGAUGGGAUGAAUAGAAAGUCAUAGAAAAUUUAUGGUGAUCACUGAAGGUUGAGAAAAACCCAAUCUGAUGAGCACUCUGCUCCAUGUCAGGUCCUGCCUGUUGUGCUUGUCUCCCAGACUGUCUUUUAACUCUCACCUUCUUACAAAUAGUUGAAUCUUAAUAGCUAUUAUUACCUUACAUUUAACAAAAUAGGCAUAUGCAUAUUUUUUCAUUUUCUCCCUCUCCACUAAGGAAAACUUCAGAGAGAGAAAGAAUUUCUCCAGGGUCAAGCAUCCAGCUGAGCAUUCCAGUAGAGAAUGGCAGUGCUGGAAUCCCCCGCUGUUGUCCGGCUUCAAGACUCUUUUGCACUGUCUCCCAGCCCUGCUCCCAUGGGAGUUGUGGAGAAUUCCCAGGGUGAAGAAAGAACCUGGGGAUAGAGCCUCCUUUUUUCAUUUUUUCUUUCUUUUUUUUUUUUUUUUUGCGAUGGUCUUGCUCUGUCACCCAGGCUUGGAGUGCAGUGGUGUGAUCUUGGCUCACUGCAGCCUCAAUCUCCCAGGUUCAAGUGAUCCUUCCUCCUCAGUCUCCAGAGUAGCUGGGACUACAGGUAUGCACCACCAUGCCUGGCUAAUUUUUGUGUUUUUAGUAGAGAUGGGCUUUCAUCAUGUUGGCCAGACUGGUCUCAAACUCCUGACCUCAGGUGAUCCACCUGCCUCAGCCUCCCGAAGUGCUGGGAUUAUAGGCAUGAGCCACUGUGCCCGGCCUCAUUUUUCUUUUCCUUUUUACAGAAAUGGAAAUCACAUGGUAGGUCAUAAGGAGCUGACAGGGCUGGAGUUCCAGUGAGUAUCUGCCCCGGCAGUGCGGCAGCAGACGGGAAGGGUGGGAGGUCAUCUGAGCUGGUAGGGUGAGAACAAAUAUAAAUCUCAGGGGGGAUCCACAAGGGAGCCCAUGUCUUUGGUGCCACACAAAUGCAGUAAGAGCUGUGGACACCAGGGAAUACCAGGGAGUGUUUAAAAGCCCCACAGGCAGAACACACGCAGAGAAAGCAGGAGACUAGGCACUGUGGGUUCUUGGGAAAGAGCUGAUUUUAGUUGCAAAAGCAGAGGAAACCCCAGACAUUGCAUGGCUUUAGGCUUUAGGCUUUAGCCCCACCACCCUCACAAGUCUUCUGUCUCCAGGGGGCCAUCAGUGCCUCAGUUCCACUCGGUGCAGACCCCAGGGUUCUUCCCACCCCUGCAAGCCACCCAUCAGGGUGAACUGAGAGAUCAGCAGAGUCACUUACAACGAAGGGGAAUUGUUCUGGGCAUUGGUUAGUAAACAGGAGAGCAAAAGGGGAGAAGAAAAUUGUGUACAGGCGUUGAGCAUCUCUAGCCGAAGAAGGUGAGGCAUAGAGGUGUCUUACCACCAGGAACAGAUCUGAGUCAUGCAGCACCAAAAUACGUAUUUGAGUCAUGGCAUCAAAACGUUCCUGGUGGUGAAUUCAUGUCCGUGCGGGUCUGCAGCAAUCUCAAUUCUUGCCUCCUCAGAAGAAAGAAUUCGACUGAGGGGCAUGAGGCAGAAAGAGAGAUCGGAGCCAGUUUCAGAACAGGAGUGAAAGUUUAUUAAAAGGCUUUAGAACAUGAAUGAAAGGAAGGAAAGGAUACUUGGAGAAGGACCAAGCAGGCAUCUUGAAAGGCAAGUGCUUUUUUUUUUUUUUUUCAUUUUUUAACCCCUUCCUAAUGUCACUGGAAUAAGAGGCCUGUCCCAGACCCCAAGAGCGGGUUCUUGGAUGUUGGAUGAGGAACAAUUCCAGGUGAGUGGCAGAGUAUAGUAAAGUUAAAAUCGUUUAUCAGAGACCACUCGGUUACAGAGUAGGAUGUCCUCCAAAAGCAAGAGAAGGAACGCGCACACCUUAAAUACGAUUCUUAUUUAUAUAGGUUAACAGAGCUAAGAAGAGAGGUCUUUUGUGCUUUAUUACAGAGGCUGGUGAUCAGCUUCUGACAGGCUAUUAGUAUUAUUUUCCUAUGUUACUACUGAUUUCAGCAAGGAUUUACGAAUGUACUAUUAACCUUAAAUCAAAACCUACUCUUAAACUAAGAAUGCUUUUUGUUCUUAAAAUAUUAAGAGAUUGCCAUAAAAUUCUGCGUCUUUAUUUAGUUAGCAUCAUUAACUUGUUCCCUCAACCAUAAACAUCUUGUGCCCAAGAGUGCCUACCCCCUGGGGGUGUAACCCUGCAGGCAUGGCUAUAUCCCACAUUUAUUAAAG